GAGAGAGAGAGAGAGAGAGAGAGAAAAGUCUCUACACUCGCCGAGAAGCGAUAAAUCGAUACACAGGAGGGAACUAGAGAAUCGGAUUCAGCGUCCCCAAUGCAGGCAGGCGAAAGUCCUCAGUCCCUUGUGGAUUGAAGUCAAAAAGGAAAACCAAACUGUUGAAAGACUGUCAGGCCUGACUCUUGGGGAAAGGUUGACUGUUCUUCCUAGAACCCUGCAUUUCAUCCUGUCUCUUCCUGGCCCGGGCAGAUGGCGCUGCUGAUAAGACGCUUGCAUUGCAAGUACAAGGAGCAGAGUUUACAUUCCCAGGGCCCACAUAAAAGCCUGGCUGCUCCGGUGGACUGCCUGAAAUCCUAGCAUUUGUGAGGCAGAGACUGGACUCUUGGUGAGCUAGACCAGCCAAGUCACAAGCUCUAGGUUCAAUGAGAGACCCUGCCUUAGUAAACGAAGAGGAGAGCGAUCCAGGCACACAGAAGUCAUCAACCUCUGGCCUCUGCUCGGACGUGCACAUACCACACGUACAUAUUCAAGAUUGCUUUUACAAAUCCGCCGUUAUUAAAGUCCUGGCAAGGGGUUAUGAUGGGGAAGAGUUAAAUCCUUAAGAGCAGGAAAGUCAGGCCAAAUGAAGGGCAGAUGGCUUUGGGCACACUGCCAGCGGCGCCAGGUUUGGAGCCCAGCUGCUGCCCUCUCGCCUAAUGAAUGAAGCACUGACAGCCUGUGGAAGAAGGUGGCAGUCAUCAGAUCCCGGGCCUUGAUGAAGGUGUGCCACAGGCAGAGUCCUCCUGGGACCCGAGAGACCAACGAGCAGGUGAGCAGAACCUGUCUGACCUCUUCUUCAAAGAGCAGUUUCCCAGGUGAGAAGAUAAGUCUCUGAGAAAGGUGCCUGGCAGUACACGGAGAUAAGGGUAUCUUGCCUGUGAACACAUCUACAGAGCAGCCUUUCCUUUAUAUGUUAGUUAUUUAUUUACAGAGCAUUUCAUCAGGAAGACCAGGGAUUCUUCAUUCAGACACUGAACUACUGCAUACCCAGAUACUGACUGGGCCCAGUGGUAUCCGGCAGAUGUUGGCAAAUAUACACCACACUGGAUGAUGAGCUCAGACCUAGCAUCUAAUAGACACCUAAUAAACUGAAUAAUAACAGACCAC